rnacentral:rRNA from 1 species
UGGGGAAUUUUGGACAAUGGGGGAAACCCUGAUCCAGCCAUCCCGUGUGCGCGAUGAAGGCCUUCGGGUUGUAAAGCACUUUUGGCAGGAAAGAAACGUCGCGGGUUAAUACCCCGCGAAACUGACGGUACCUGCAGAAUAAGCACCGGCUAACUACGUGCCAGCAGCCGCGGUAAUACGUAGGGUGCAAGCGUUAAUCGGAAUUACUGGGCGUAAAGCGUGCGCAGGCGGUUCGGAAAGAAAGAUGUGAAAUCCCAGAGCUUAACUUUGGGAACUGCAUUUUUAACUACCGGGCUAGAGUGUGUCAGAGGGAGGUGGAAUUCCGCGUGUAGCAGUGAAAUGCGUAGAUAUGCGGAGGAACACCGAUGGCGAAGGCAGCCUCCUGGGAUAACACUGACGCUCAUGCACGAAAGCGUGGGGAGCAAACAGGAUUAGAUACCCUGGUAGUCCACGCCCUAAACGAUGUCAACUAGCUGUUGGGCCUUCGGGCCUUGGUAGCGCAGCUAACGCGUGAAGUUGACCGCCUGGGGGAGUACGGUCGC